AGAGUUUGAUCAUGGCUCAGGACGAACGCUGGCGGCGUGCUUAACACAUGCAAGUCGAACGGUAAGGCCCCAGCUUGCUGGGGUACACGAGUGGCGAACGGGUGAGUAACACGUGGGUGACCUGCCCCGCACUUCGGGAUAAGCCUGGGAAACUGGGUCUAAUACCGGAUAGGACCGCACCGUGAGGGUGUGGUGGAAAGUUUUUCGGUGUGGGAUGGGCCCGCGGCCUAUCAGCUUGUUGGUGGGGUAAUGGCCUACCAAGGCGGCGACGGGUAGCCGGCCUGAGAGGGUGGACGGCCACAUUGGGACUGAGACACGGCCCAGACUCCUACGGGAGGCAGCAGUGGGGAAUAUUGCACAAUGGGCGGAAGCCUGAUGCAGCGACGCCGCGUGGGGGAUGACGGCCUUCGGGUUGUAAACUCCUUUCACCAUCGACGAAGGUUUUCUGACGGUAGAUGGAGAAGAAGCACCGGCUAACUACGUGCCAGCAGCCGCGGUAAUACGUAGGGUGCGAGCGUUGUCCGGAAUUACUGGGCGUAAAGAGCUCGUAGGUGGUUUGUCGCGUCGUCUGUGAAAUUCCGGGGCUUAACUCCGGGCGUGCAGGCGAUACGGGCAUAACUUGAGUACUGUAGGGGAGACUGGAAUUCCUGGUGUAGCGGUGAAAUGCGCAGAUAUCAGGAGGAACACCGGUGGCGAAGGCGGGUCUCUGGGCAGUAACUGACGCUGAGGAGCGAAAGCAUGGGUAGCGAACAGGAUUAGAUACCCUGAUAGUCCAUGCCGUAAACGGUGGGCGCUAGGUGUAGGGGUCUUCCACGACUUCUGUGCCGUAGCUAACGCAUUAAGCGCCCCGCCUGGGGAGUACGGGCCGCAAGGCUAAAACUCAAAGGAAUUGACGG
rnacentral:rRNA from 1 species